AAAUAGAUGUAUGUGUGUGUGCAGGUAAAAGAUUAACUUGCAUAAAUAAGUUGGUUUAGUUUGGAGGCUAGCACAGAGUCAAAACCUUGAAUGUUGUCCAUUUUCCCAGAAACAUGUCAUUCAAAGGUUGUAAGUCAAUCUAGAGAGAAUCGCAAAAUGUGCUAAUACAAUUCCAAAAAGCUGUAGUUUUCAAGAACCCAUAAUCGCCGACUUCUCAACAACUUAUUGGAAGAUGAGUACUCACUCAAUCCAGGGGAAGAGAUGUUCAUCACCAUCGUACUCAUCAAUAUCCUCUAUCAAUUUCCUAAUUAUCAGAAAUCCACACAAAAUUAGACUGAGUAGAUUGAAUCCCAGAGAGCAAAGAUGUGAAAGCUGUAAGCUUAACCUCUGUUUCUCGAAGAGAUUCGGCCUAAAAUGGCGGUCAGUGUGAGACUUGAGAUUAUGUUUAAGAAGACAAAGAUUGUGUCCUCUCUUCAAAGCAAGAAAAAAUCUACUUCUUGUUAUAAAAUCUAAACCCGCCUUAGUCGUCGUUUCUUUCA